rnacentral:rRNA from 1 species
UACGAAGGGGGGCUAGCGUUGCUCGGAAUCACUGGGCGUAAAGGGUGCGUAGGCGGGUUUUUAAGUCAGGGGUGAAAUCCUGGAGCUCAACUCCAGAACUGCCUUUGAUACUGGCGAUCUUGAGUUCGGGAGAGGUGAGUGGAACUGCGAGUGUAGAGGUGAAAUUCGUAGAUAUUCGCAAGAACACCAGUGGCGAAGGCGGCUCACUGGCCCGAUACUGACGCUGAGGUGCGAAAGCGUGGGGAGCAAACAGG